UACGUAGGUGGCAAGCGUUGUCCGGAUUUACUGGGCGUAAAGAGCGCGCAGGCGGUCGUAUAAGUCGAAUGUGAAAGCCCCCGGCUCAACUGGGGAGGGUCAUUCGAUACUGUUCGACUCGAAGGCAGGAGAGGGUAGUGGAAUUCCCGGUGUAGUGGUGAAAUGCGUAGAUAUCGGGAGGAACACCAGUGGCGAAGGCGACUACCUGGCCUGUUCUUGACGCUGAGGCGCGAAAGCUAGGGGAGCAAACGGG
rnacentral:rRNA from 1 species